CACGGGGGGAGCAAGCGUUGUUCGGAAUCACUGGGCGUAAAGGGCGUGUAGGCGGUCAGGUAAGUGGGAUGUGAAAUGCCUCGGCUCACCCGAGGACCUGCAUCCCAAACUGCUUGGCUUGAGUAUGGGAGAGGAUGAGGGAAUUCCUGGUGUAGCGGUGAAAUGCGUAGAUAUCAGGAGGAACACCGGUGGUGUAGACGGCUUUCUGGACCGUAACUGACGCUGAGACACGAAAGCGUGGGUAGCAAACAGG
rnacentral:rRNA from 1 species